GAUGAACGCUGGCGGCGUGCCUAAUACAUGCAAGUCGAGCGAACAGACGAGGAGCUUGCUCCUCUGACGUUAGCGGCGGACGGGUGAGUAACACGUGGAUAACCUACCUAUAAGACUGGGAUAACUUCGGGAAACCGGAGCUAAUACCGGAUAAUAUAUUGAACCGCAUGGUUCAAUAGUGAAAGACGGUUUUGCUGUCACUUAUAGAUGGAUCCGCGCCGCAUUAGCUAGUUGGUAAGGUAACGGCUUACCAAGGCAACGAUGCGUAGCCGACCUGAGAGCUUGAUCGGCAACACUCAAACGAGGACACCAUGAAGAAUCCAACGGGCUGCAGCGGUAGGGAAUGUGCCGCGAGGGACAAAGGACUGAAGGAGCGACGACGCAUUAGGUAAGGCGUUUUACGUAACAAAAAAAUCUUAUAUUAGAGAAAACAAAAUGUGUAGAAAUCUCCGCACGUAUUGAAGGAACAUAAGAAGAAAGCCACGUCUAAAGACGGGCAAGCCCAGGAGGUAAUACAGCGGAGGUCUGAAC
rnacentral:rRNA from 1 species